AGAGAGGGAUAGAGGCACAGACACACAGAGACAGAGAGAGGGACAGAGGCACAGACACACAGAGACAGAGAGAGGGAUAGAGGCACAGACACACAGAGACAGAGAGAGGGAUAGAGGCAGACACACAGAGACAGAGAGAAGCAGAGCGAAAGACGCACAGAGAGAUGGAUAGGGAGGGAGAGAAAGAAAGCCUGACAGGGAGAGUUAGAGAGAGACAGGAGAAAGAGAAAGAGAAAGAAAGAGAGAGGGGGAGAAGGAGACAGAGAGAGGGUGAGAUAAAUAGAGACAGAUAGAGAGAGAGGGGAGAGAGGCAGAGAGAGAGAGAGGGGGAGAGAGAGAGAGAGAACAGGAUGCAACAGGUCGCUGGAGGUUCUCCUUCCAGAAGGAGGUCUGCGUGUUGAAACACACCACAUCUCCUCAACGUUGAUGAACACGUGACAUCAACAGCAUUACUACCUCUACCGCACACCUGUCUGCUCGUCUGACCUGUCUGUUUCUCACGGUCUGUGGUUGCGUGUGUUUGAAAAUUCACAUCGUAAGAGUGUGUGUUUGUUAGGAGCAUGCAUGUGUUUGAACAUGCGAGUGUGUCUGAAAAUGUGUGUGUCUUCAGAGUGUGUAAGCGUGUGUGUGUGUGUGUGUGUGUGUGUGUGUGUUCGGAGUGUUUGUGUGUGUGUAUGUGUUUGUUAGGAGUGUUCGUGUGUGUGUUAGGAGUGUGUGUGUGAUAGGAGUGUGUUAGGAGUGUGUGUGUGAUAAGAGUGUUAGGUGUGCGUGUGUGUGUGUGUUUGUUAGGUGUGUGUGUGUGUGUGU
ensembl:lncRNA